UAUAGUGAUUCCAUUCAAUAAGGAUCAACUGCAAUUUCUUUUUCAAAACAGUGAUGAUUGACAAGUUGCCCUGAUAGAUUUCAGGGGUCAAAUUUUAUUUCAUUUGCCCUCAAGCCCCCUUUUUACAUUUUUUGAAAACACAUCCAGUGAUUUUUCUGAAGAAAUUUUGUAUUCAACGUUUGGAAGGGGGAAUUUUAGUUUUCACAGAUGGUUCCUCUAAUGGUAAAGGAAAUCAUUAAUAGAAAAUCUCAUGUUCAGGUAACUGAAGAGACAUCUGCCCAGAGGGCUGAGUUACAAAAAGUUAUUUGGGCUUUUCAACAUUUAAGAGACCACACCUUCAAUCUUUUGACUGACUCCCGAUAUAUUGUAGGGUUGUUUCCUCAUAUUGAGAUUGCUAAUAUUCUGGAAAAUAAAACUACCAUCUUCUCCUUGUUAUCUGAUUUACAGAAAGAGAUUAAACACAGAGUUAAGAAAUAUUUUGUGGGACAUAUUAGAGCCCAUUCCGGCUUGCCCAGCCCUUUGCAUGAAGGAAAUGCUUUGGCAGAUGCAUUAACUAAAGUAAUUGCUUUAAACUUACAUGAAAAGCUUGACAAGGCCAAAAAUUCUCACAAAAUUCACCAUCAAAAUGCAGCUGGGUUAAGGUAUGAAUUUCAUAUCCCUAGGGAAACAGCUAGACAAAUAGUUAAGUUAUGUCCAAAUUGCCCACUAUUUAAUCCAUCUCCACCAUUAGGAGUAAAUCCCCAAGGCCUUAGGCCUAAUGCUCUCUGGCAAAUGGACGUAACUCAUAUCCCGGCCUUUGGAAAACUGUCCUUUGUACAUGUUAUGUGGAUACCUUUUCUCAUGUUACUAUAGCCUCUACUAGAUCAAGUGAAGCAGCAAAAGAUGUAAUUCAACACUUGUUUCAGUGCUUUUCCCAAAUAGGACACCCUGAACAGAUAAAAACAGAUAAUGCCCCAGCUUAUACUUCUGCUGCUUUUAAGAGAUUUGUCAACAAUUUUCCAUAGUACAUUCAACAGGAAUACCUUAUAAUCCCCAAGGCCAAGCCAUAGUGGAAAGGGCACACCAGACUUUAAAAAAUCAGAUAGCUAAAUUAAAACAGGGAGAAUUUACGUAUUCCUCUCCACAUCAUGUUUUACACCAUGCUUUGUUUGUAAUUAAUCAUUUAAAUGUGGACACACAGCGGCAGACUGCAAUAAUGAGACACUUGACUCCUGAAGGGGCUAUGAAUCGGCCCCUGGUUAAGUGGAAAGACCUCCUUACCGGAGAGUGGAAAGGGCCAAGAUGUGCCGUUAACUUGCGGGAGAGGGUAUGCUUGUGUUUUUCCACAGAAUUCCACUUCUCCUGUCUGGAUUCCUGACAGACUGAUUCGACAUGUCCAGUCCCAUGAGAUCUCCAAGAUCACAAAGACCCCUGAGGUCACUGAGAUCCCCGGAGUCCUGGAGUCCGGGACCGAGGGAAGAUGGGGAGAUCAAAAGCUCGUCGAAAAAGGACUUUCCAAGCUGUGCACUGCCCCCUCUGGACUCUGAUGAACAAGGACUGCAGGCCUGGUUACAGGCAUUUGCUACCAAACGGGUCCCUUGAGGUGUGGAGACUGACUGGACAGGACAGCAGAAGCUCACUUGGCAGCCAGCAUCUUAGUUCAGAGCUCCUGACACUACCUCCUCCCUGGUCAUAUCCAGCUCCUCUCCGUGCCCUGGUGCUCGGGAAAGGUAUGAGCCAGCAGCAUCACCAUCUGGGCACUGAAGCUUUCUGAGGUGAAACCUGGGACGCUGCUUUCCACAGCAUCUUUUCCUGUGGAACUUCGCAAGGCCAGUGUGUUGACUUCUGACCAGUCUCAUCCAAAACCACACCCUUUUGCACAUACAUAAGCACAUACUCUGAGGUAUUGGGCCUCCAGCUUACUCUAGGAGGACAGAGGGCAGUUAAGUUUGUUUGACAUAACUAGAAGGGGCUGAGCCUCUUCCCAGAAGAGCAAAGUCCAUUCAUGGUAACUACCAUCACCCACCAUUUCUAGAUAGCAUUUGCUUCUGGUUGCUGAGACACUGUUUCUUUCAGCAGAAGAAAAUGAGUGGGUUGGUGAUCCAAUACUUCUAUCUCCAAAGAAACAUGGGUAGGUGAUAUAAGUGCCCUGAGGUGAGAUUGCUGCUUGCUGUGGCCAUUUCAGAGCUACAUUUGCUCUGAAAGAUACCAGCAAAGGUACUGAUGUUUGUGUUUCCUUAGUGGUAUUCAUGCCUCCACAUCAGAGGGAGUGUUCUGGGUGGGGCCCAGGUAUUCUGAGUGAAGGUAAGAAUAGAAGUAGCUUCCUAAAAGUGUAUGGUGUUGUCCCAUUAGACUGUGGUCUGACCACAAGCAGCCAGCCAGUCUGAAUGGUGGCGGGAACAUAAAUAUCCAGAAGCUGCCUUCUCCCAUCAUAUAACUUGUGCUCUGAACUAUGUGCCCCAAGUACUCUUGACAGCAGCCCUUCCAAUCACAGAUAUGAUGCUGGCCCAUCAGACAGCAAAAGAUGUGCUGUGUCCAGAUGGGCACGAGGUGACUGGUGGAAGGCAGGAACAGCAGUGUCUUCUGGCAUGUGUUUCUUCUCAGUGGUGCAGGCUUCUCCUGGAGUAACAGAUUUGCUCUGACUGGGUGGGCCCAAGUAUUCAGAUCAGAUGCAAAAAGAGAAGAUGCUAAACGCUGGGAUGGUGUUGGCCCUUCCUGUUGCAAAACAUGUGCUCUGUCCAGGUGGGAACCAGGAGUUCUCACUGUAGGUAGGGACAUAAUGACCUCUAAGCAUAGGUGAGGUGCUCACCCUUUCAAUGGCUAUAGACUAUAGGCACAAAAAGAAGUGUCUCCAGCACAGUUAUGGUUCCAUAUCCUUAUCUGCAACAGAUGUACCCUGGUUGGGUGGGUCCCAGGCAAUCUGAACACAUGGAAGGACAGAAGUGUCUUCUGGCACAUGUUCCUUCUCAGUGAUGCUGUCUUAUCCUGUGGUAGCAGGUGGCUGGGCUGACUCUAGGCGUUCUUAUUAUAGGCAGGAAGGAAAGUGUCUCCCAAGACAGAUUUGCUCUCAGUAGUGCUGGCUUCUCCAAUUGUAACAGGAGUGUAGUAGGCUGACAGGAGCCUGGUGCUCAGGUCUAAGCCUUCUUCCCCCAAAUUAGCUGUGGUUCUAGGUGUCCCACUUGGCCUUGCUCCAAAGCUGAGUGUUUCAGACAUGAAACUGGGGCCUGGGACAUACACAAUGACCCCAAAGAUGCCACUACCCACAGGUGCCGAAAAUCCCUUAAAUGCAAAUGGGUCUCAAAGGAUGUUGGCAAAAAGUGAGCCGCAGUCCUCAGUACUGUGCAUUCUGGUGGCAGCUCCAGAGCAAGAAAGGGUGAAAUGAGGUGAAGUGCCACCAAAGGCUGGCUUGGUGCCCACAGGGAUGCCAGAGUUGGAACACAGGGUGUCAAACUCCCCAAAGCUGAGUUGUGCUACUUUGGGGUUCCAGGGAUGCAGUAGGUGCUUAGUGAGAGGAUUAACUGGGGGCAGCCAGGUUUCCCAAAGAGACAGAGCUCUUAAAGCUGUCAAGAGGAGGCAAGAAGGUAAUAGACUGGGAAUUGGUUAUAGUAUCCACAUCAAUUUCUUCAGAGUCAAAGACAGGCUUGGAUGCCAUGUCUGAAGAGGUGCUGGUUAUUGGAUUGAGGUGACUGCAGAAUCAGUGGUAGGUGGGCCAGAAAAGACAAGGGACACUGGGGAGAGUGGCCCCUUCUGCUGCCCGUAUAGAUCCCCAGCUAAAUGAUGGUUCCUGCCCCAAAGGGAACGUUGAAAGUUCAGGUAGGGAUGCAGACCAUAAAAGUAGGUGGGCAAGUGAUGGCUGGCCUUUGCAGGGCAUAUCUGCUCCAUACUGGGAUAGACCUGGUAAAGUGCCAGGGAGCUCACACAGGAUCCUGAAAAUGAAAACUUGGGAAGGCAGAGUGGUGUCCAUGUCAGUUACACCAAAGUCCAAAGGCCCCUGAGAGGUCUAGGCUGCAGAUGGGCUGACGGAUAGAGGAAGUGAUUGCAGAAGCAGUGAUGGGCUGGCUGACAAAGUCUGGGACGCUCAUGAAAUGGAUUUGAAGAGAAGUCUGUAAAGAGGGAGGAGAAUCCACCCACCUAGGUGAAGGUGAUUCAUUUCUAUAGAAAGUAAGCUUUGAGGAGAGAAGGGAGGUGCCAGGAGGUAUGGUGAGACCAGAAGUUCCUGUGGAACUAUGACUGAGGGACUGGGUUGCUGGUAGCAUCUAUUCAGUCUCGUUAGUACAUGGAACCCCAAGUAUGGGUUGGAAUCUGAAGUGAGAAACAGCAGCAACAGCAAAAGAAGGAGAGUUUGAAAUUGUGCAUCUUAUUUCAUGACUGAUAUCUGGUGUGGGGGAUAGGCGUGGGAGCAGACAGGUCAGUCAAAUCAGUGGUUACUAAUGGGGUAGUCUCUGGAAUCUGCCAGGGGAGAGUGGCCAGUGGCAAUGGAACUACAGUCCCUGGCAACGACCAGGGCAAAGGAAUAGGCAGGUUGAGUGGCACUGCUAUCAGCGGUGGCCUCAGUUUUAUCCUCUGACCUAUGGUUUUGUUGGUGCUGUGUUCUUCCCCAAGCUCAGGUCUUCAGCAGUGACCUUACUGGAAGGUAGGAUGCAGGGCCUCUCACUUGAUCCCACGACAGCGGUAGUAGCAGCAGCGGUGGCAGCAGUAGUGGCAUUGCUGUGUUCUGUUUACAGAGCCCACCAUUGACAGGUGAGGGUGGAGAAUUUUUCCUUGACUAUGUGAAAGCCCUCCUCUCUGAGUCUACUUUUGCUUCGGUAAGGCUGAAGAACUGAGUCAGUGGUCUUCAUCAAACUCUUUCUCAACCACUCCAACUGUAGGAAGCAGACUGUGGCUGGGUCAGACAGGCCGGCUGCACUUGCAUCACACUUGCAAAGAGGCCAGACGCCUCCAGUAGGGCUGUGUGAGCUGCUGAUGGUAGGGCCUUUGGGAAAUGAGCUCAUAAAGCCUCUGGUGAUAUCUUACCUAAGCUCUCUUCUUGAAAUAGAGGUUUCCCUUCAGAGGCUCAGGACUGCUCCCAAAUACGUGACAACUUGUCAGCAGGAGCCUAGGUCCUGGUGGUAUAAUUUCAUUGCUGUAAGGACCCCUUUUCUGAAAGUCCUGCAUUUUGGAAACUUUGUGACUCCUUCCUCCUUAGAUAUUCCCUUCUUUCACAUUCCCAGUGUCUUCAGCUCAGUCUUCUCUAAAUCAGGCUUUGGAGGGUGAUUGGAUAGCCCAGAAGGAGUGUAAGUUUGUGCCCCUGAGGGAGAAUAUUGACCAUUUCUCAGUGGCUAGACUCUUUGAGAUACAAGCGGACACCAGAGGCUUCUUCAGAGAGCUCUCUCCCACCCAAUUCAGGACCCUCAGAGAGGAGCACUCAGGCUGUCUCGUCUGAUACUGCCUCUUAAGUAACAUGGAGGGACAGAGGCACUGGAUCCACAUAGAACUGCCUAAGAAAAGGGCCAGGAGAGAGACAGGGCAGUGGGAUUCCCUCAGCCAGAAGGGAAACACAGGUGUAACCAGGGGUGGGGAAGGGGCUAGAGUGAAGCUUGCUGAGCAGGUUGCACACAAGGGGCAGUUCAUGCACUGUCUGAUCCCGAGAGCAUAGAGUUGCGACUUGGGAGAGUUCUCUUAGCGACCUGCUCCUCCAGCGUAAAGCAUGCACUGUUUGGCCUGAUGCUUGAGACACAGCAUUGGAGCAUGUGAGAGAGAAAGAGCACCAGCUGGGCACACACCAGCAAAUGGCAUAAGGAAAAAGUGCCAAAGGCAAAGGAUGAGGCCCAGAGGCCAAACCCCAGCAGGACCUUCUAGCACGUUCUGACUUUCUGCUGCUGGUUAUGAGUGUUUGGUUUGACAAGAUUGUUCAGUACUGUGACUUCCAAGAGCCUGCAUACCUGUCAUCCCUAGGUAUGUGUCCCCACGUCUGUGUGUACUUCAGUGCCUGACUCGAGGGCAGCAGAGGCUGCCUGUGCCUGAAGGUCCACCAGCCCUUUCUCUGUCAUCACUAGUGGGUAGAGUCUGCUCCAAGCCAGAGCAGGAGAGGAGCCUAGAUCCUGCCAGCGUGGGGGCCUUGUUUGUGGGAGGCUGGGGCAGAGAGGCCGAGGUUGGGGAGAUGGGGGUGGCGGCAGGGCGGGA